UACAGGGGGGGCGAGCGUUGUUCGGAAUUACUGGGCGUAAAGGGUUUGUAGGUGGCUUGCUCAGUCAGACGUGAAAUCCCUCAGCUUAACUGGGGAACUGCGUCUGAUACUAGCGAGCUUGAGUGCAGGAGAGGAACGCGGAAUUCCAGGUGUAGCGGUGAAAUGCGUAGAUAUCUGGAGGAACACCGGUGGCGAAGGCGGCGU
rnacentral:rRNA from 1 species